AUUUUUUACAAUGGCUCCUCAGUUGGAACAGGUCCACGCGCAGACUUUAGAUGUUUUGAACUAUUUAUUUAACGAUUUUGAGCUAACAGACCGCUGUAACUGUCAGAUAGACGGAGACAUUGAAACAGAUAGUGAUGAUUUCGAUCCAGUUCUGAUCGCAGACAAACUCCGGGAGGUCGCAGACGCUUUAAACGCAAACCCCAAAUUCCAGGCCCAACUCAGUAAACUGAAGCAGACAGCAGCUCAAGAGGCGUUAGACACAGCCCUGACCCAAGGUAUAGACACUUUGGUACAGUCUCAGGUGGGGCAGAGGACAGAGGUCGCUCCUGAGCUGCAGUUGAUCAAAGCUGCAGUGGCCUUUGGUUUGUACCUGAAGAAGACGUGUCCAAACCUGAGCAGUCAGCUCCAGCCGUCCAUCGGGAACUUUAUCAACCAGCGAGUGGGGCGCUGGAUCACUGACCAGGGAGGAUGGAGUCGUGUGGCAGCAGCGACUGAGCUGUGACUCAGCUCUGACACAAAACUCCUCAGGAAUCCAAAUGACGCUGGACUUCUCUUCGUUCGAGCCACACAAUCAAACACACGUGUCUUAUUUAAGCUCCAUGUUGUGCAUUUACACUUAGACCACACAUAUUGGGCAAAAUUGACCUUUUUGAGCUUUGUAGCAUUUUAUAACAUCAUAUUUUGCAUAAUUCUCACUUGUUUCACAAUCCUGUUUACAAGGUCGUCUUGCUCUGAGCCUCAGAAAUCACUAUGUCAAUAUUACCAGCAUUGUUACGUCACGGGUAAAAUCCAGAGAUCUGCUCAGUUCUGAAGUUCAUAAAGCCACUGGACAAGUUCUGAGCAAACUCCAAAGUUCAAAACAGUUAGUUUAGCCUUAUAUGGGAACUUUAAAGGAGCACUGUGUAACUUUUAAGGUGGGGUGUCCUCCACCUGCUUGUCGCCAUGGAUAUGUGAUUGCUGUGCCUGGAAUGUUCCACAUGUUAAGCUUAAUAUCAUGCUUUUAUGGAAUUGCAGGUGUUUAAAGAAAACAUGAAUUCUUACAAAGAGUGGGGUUGCUUCUCCACAGAUCUGACCUAUAACAUGGCCAUUCUGCAUCACCUGUUUGUCCCCACUGAGGUAGAUGAGUUUAAUGCCUCAGUGUGCAGACAAGCCACCAGAAAAGUUACAUAGUGCCGCUUUAGUUCUAUCAUCACUCUUGUCAGUGUAUCAUCUGUGAUGUGUUGCUUUUGCUGGGAAAGGGAAAUACUUUUUGAGUUUGUCAAGUUAAAGUAGGAACAACACUUGAAUCAUGUCAGUGUAUUUAGUGGGUUUUGGGUGAUUAUUGUGUUAUUAUUAUUAUUAUCAUCCUAGUAGCUUUAAAGAGGGGGUAUUAUGCACAAAAAAAACUUUCAGAGUUGUCUCUUACUGUUCUCUCAUUAAAAACAUGCAUGUUUGAGUAAUCUAGAGAUCUCUUACGGGUUCUAUUCUAACCCUUUUUACGGUUAGCUGUAAGAUUCUGUACGAGGCUCCGCCCACAAGCCUACAUCACCCAUACUCCCACACGACAAUUCUCUGUAAAUAUACAAAAACGUGACACAAAACUGUCCACAGCAACUUGACAAACCUGAUGUGAUGUGCAGUAGUUUCAUUAGUGGGAUGCAGCUGAUUGUGUUGUGACAGUGCUCUGAAGGGGGAGUGACUUAUGAUGGAGAGCAAAAUGAGGGGACUCAGAAACAUGUUAAUACAUUGUUUUGGGUGAAUAUAACAUUUUCAAAACAACAAAAGGAAACAUGGAGAUCUAAAUAUGUUAUGUGUUACAGUUAAUACCCCACAGAUGUAAAAUACCCCCUCUUUAAAUUAUAAAAUCAAGUUAACGCUAAUAUGCUAGUAAAAUGUACACACAACUACACUUGGGCAUCAUGGAAUAGUUUGUUUUAUUUAGUUUGAGAAAGGGCAUGGAUUUGUGCGUAAAGUUCUCUUCUAUGGUUCUGCUUGUUGCCAUCAGCUUUCAAAUAAACAUGAGAACACAUCAUAUCAGAGAGAGCCACAACUUGACAACGCAAAGUACAGACAGGAUGAAGUGUGUUGCUUAAAGGCACAAGACUGCAUUGGGUUGAGGUUAAAUCUCCAAAACAUUCAACAUUGGACCCCCCCCCCCCAUUAGCUCCUCAAAAACAGACCUGGAGUUGUGUUUUGUUUCAUUCACACAUGUUUGAGUAACACUUUAUUAUUAGUCUG
ensembl:lncRNA